UUACGGCCACAUCACGUUGAAACAUCGGUUCCCCUACGAUCACCGAAAUUAAGCAACGUUAAGCCUGGUCAGCACCUAGAUGGGUUACCCGUUAGAGAUACCAGGUGCUGUAAG